rnacentral:rRNA from 1 species
CCUACGGGAGGCAGCAGUGAGGAAUAUUGGUCAAUGGCCGCAGGGCUGAACCAGCCAAGUCGCGUGAGGGAUGACGGUCCUAUGGAUUGUAAACCUCUUUUGUCAGGGAGUAAAGGGCGUCACGUGUGGCUCUUUGCGAGUACUUUAUGAAAAAGCAUCGGCUAACUCCGUGCCAGCAGCCGCGGUAAUACGGAGGAUGCGAGCGUUAUCCGGAUUUAUUGGGUUUAAAGGGUGCGCAGGCGGAAUGUCAAGUCAGCGGUAAAAUUUCGGGGCUCAACCUCGUCGUGCCGUUGAUACUGGCGGUCUUGAGUGAACGAGAGGUAUGCGGAAUGCGUGGUGUAGCGGUGAAAUGCAUAGAUAUCACGAAGAACUCUGAUUGCGAAGGCAGCAUAC